UACAGAGGUCUCAAGCGUUGUUCGGAUUCAUUGGGCGUAAAGGGUGUGUAGGUGGCGCCGUAAGUCGGGUGUGAAAUUUCGGAGCUUAACUCCGAAACUGCAUUCGAUACUGCGGUGCUUGAGGACUGGAGAGGAGACUGGAAUUCAUGGUGUAGCAGUGAAAUGCGUAGAGAUCAUGAGGAAGACCAGUGGCGAAGGCGGGUCUCUGGACAGUUCCUGACACUGAGCACGAAG
rnacentral:rRNA from 1 species